rnacentral:rRNA from 1 species
UGCGAAUGGCUCAUUAAAUCAGUUAUCGUUUAUUUGAUAGUACCUUACUACAGGGAUAACCGUGGUAAUUCUAGAGCUAAUACUUGCUGAAAACCCCGACUUCGGAAGGGGUGUAUUUAUUAGAUUAAAAACCAAUGCCCUUCGGGGCUCUCUGGUGAUUCAUGAUAACUUCUCGAAUCGCAUGGCCUUGCGCCGGCGAUGGUUCAUUCAAAUUUCUGCCCUAUCAACUUUCGACGGCUGGGUCUUGGCCAGCCGUGGUUGCAACGGGUAACGGAGGGUUAGGGCUCGACCCCGGAGAAGGAGCCUGAGAGACGGCUACUACAUCCAAGGAAGGCAGCAGGCGCGCAAAUUACCCAAUCCCGACACGGGGAGGUAGUGACGAUAAAUACUGAUACAGGGCUCUUUUGGGUCUUGUAAUUGGAAUGAGUACAAUUUAAAUCCCUUAACGAGGAACAAUUGGAGGGCAAGUCUGGUGCCAGCAGCCGCGGUAAUUCCAGCUCCAAUAGCGUAUAUUAAAGUUGUUGCGGUUAAAAAGCUCGUAGUUGAACCUUGGGCCUGGCUGGCCGGUCCGCCUCACCGCGUGCACUGGUCCGGCCGGGUCUUUCCCUCUGGGGAGCCGCAUGCCCUUCACUGGGUGUGUCGGGGAACCAGGACUUUUACUUUGAAAAAAUUAGAGUGUUCAAAGCAGGCCUAUGCUCGGAUACAUUAGCAUGGAAUAAUAGAAUAGGACGCGCGGUUCUAUUUUGUUGGUUUCUAGGACCGCCGUAAUGAUUAAUAGGGACAGUCGGGGGCAUCAGUAUUCAAUUGUCAGAGGUGAAAUUCUUGGAUUUAUUGAAGACUAACUACUGCGAAAGCAUUUGCCAAGGAUGUUUUCAUUAAUCAGGAACGAAAGUUAGGGGAUCGAAGACGAUCAGAUACCGUCGUAGUCUUAACCAUAAACUAUGCCAACUAGGGAUCGGACGAUGUUAUUUUUUGACUUGUUCGGCACCUUACACGAAAGUACAA